CAACUACUCCCUCUGUCCCAAAUUUCUUGUCUUAGAUUUGUCUAGAUACGGAUGUAUCUAAUACUAAAAUGUGACUUGAUACAUCCCUAUCUAGAAAAAUCUAAUACAAGAAUUUUGGGACGGAGGGAGUACUUU
rfam:Triticum aestivum genome assembly, contig: Triticum_aestivum_CS42_TGACv1_scaffold_489986_6AS